UCCCUGGUAGCUCAGAGGGUAAAGCAUCUGCCUACAAGGCAGGAGACCCAGGUUCAAUCCCUGGGUUGGGAA
rnacentral:tRNA from 1 species